GACGAACGCUGGCGGCGUGCCUAAUACAUGCAAGUCGAGCGAGUCUGCCUUGAAGAUCGGAGUGCUUGCACUCUGUGAAACAAGAUACAGGCUAGCGGCGGACGGGUGAGUAACACGUGGGUAACCUGCCCAAGAGAUCGGGAUAACACCUGGAAACAGAUGCUAAUACCGGAUAACAACAGAUGAUGCCUAUCAACUGUUUAAAAGAUGGUUCUGCUAUCACUCUUGGAUGGACCUGCGGUGCAUUAGCUAGUUGGUAGGGUAACGGCCUACCAAGGCGAUGAUGCAUAGCCGAGUUGAGAGACUGAUCGGCCACAUUGGGACUGAGACACGGCCCAAACUCCUACGGGAGGCAGCAGUAGGGAAUCUUCCACAAUGGACGCAAGUCUGAUGGAGCAACGCCGCGUGAGUGAAGAAGGGUUUCGGCUCGUAAAGCUCUGUUGUUGGUGAAGAAGGACAGGGGUAGUAACUGACCUUUGUUUGACGGUAAUCAAUUAGAAAGUCACGGCUAACUAAGUG
rnacentral:rRNA from 1 species